rnacentral:lncRNA from 1 species
CACUCAAACAUUAAAUUAUUUGUUAAACAAAACAAAUCCAAAUAUCAACUAUUAUUUUUUAUAUUUUGAAACACAAAAAUAUCAACUAUUAAAACAAUAAUAACCAGCAUAUAGGCAUGGCGAGAGAACAAUUCCAGCAGACUCUAUCUAUCUUGCAAAGAAAUAAUAAUUUCUUAGAAACAAACGAACAUAGAUUAAGUUUUCAAAAAAAAAAAAAGAUUUAAUAGACAUGAAGAUCGGACCGUAAUGCUUCCAUUCCCCAGAAGAGAUGAGAUGAGAUUCAGGUUCGGAUCCAGACAAAAAUACUUCUAUUCACAUAACACAUCAUAUUCCCACUAACAUGGAUCGAUCAUCCUGUGAGGGAUUUCUCCUUUUUUUUCCCUUACUUUCUUGAACAAUAAAAACAAGCCUUCAUCUUCAUCGUGUCCGUAUGUCUCAAAAUCCUUCCAAACCUCUUGUUCUUUGAUGAGACUUUGUUUGGGUGUAGUUGGUGGUGGUGAUGAGACAUGAAGAGAGAGGGAGGGGAGGCGGUUGGGGCGGAGGGGA